rnacentral:tRNA from 1 species
UUAAUUGAAACCAAAUAGAGGUAGCUUAUUGUUAAUAAGUAAAUUGAAAAAGAAAUUCCAAUUAAA